GUAUCUUAAUAUUUGGGUCUUUAUCAUUCCUGGCAAAAUGAUAUGGAGCCAUGAAAUCUGGAUCAAGGCAGGAAUGUCUUUAAGACCUUAUUAUACCACUCCUAACAACAAACACUUAUACUGAAUUUUCUCAUUGCAACACUGUGUUAAGCACAUCACAUUAAUUUUCUUUUCCUCCCAAGCAAGAUUUCAACAACAUGAAGGAGCCAGCCUGCACUGAGAAAAGCACCAAGAGUCAGGCCUGUGUAUUUAGAGUGUCAGGAAAAGAGCUUUUCCAGGUGAGCAAAUGCUUUGUUACCAUGUCCAUCGCUUCUCCCUGGAUUUGCUCCCAUGUAUUUAAUGGCUCUUUUCUCCUGAGCCCUCUCCCAAC
rnacentral:lncRNA from 1 species